AUAUAACUAAGCGGAGGAAAAGAAACUAACAAGGAUUCCCCUAGUAACGGCGAGUGAAGCGGGAAGAGCUCAAGCUUAAAAUCUCCAUAGUUUUUAAUUAUGGCGAAUUGUAGUCUAUAGAAGCAAUUGUCAGCAACCAACUUUCGGAUAAGUCCCUUUGAAGAGGGCAGCACAGAGGGUGAAACUCCCGUCCGUGCCGAAGGUUUAGUGGUGCGUACGGCAUGCUUUCUUUGAGUCGAGUUGCUUGGGAAUGCAGCUCAAAGUAGGUGGUAAAUUCCAUCUAAAGCUAAAUAUGUGUGCAAGACCGAUAGCGAACAAGUACCGUGAGG
rnacentral:rRNA from 1 species